rnacentral:rRNA from 1 species
GACAGAGGGUGCAAACGUUGCUCGGAAUUACUGGGCGUAAAGCGCGUGUAGGCUGACCGGAAAGUCGGGCGUGAAAGCCCUGGGCUCAACCCAGGAACUGCACUCGAAACUCCCGGUCUAGAGUGGUGGAGAGGGAAGUGGAAUUCCUGGUGUAGAGGUGAAAUUCGUAGAGAUCCGGAGGAAGACCGGUGGCGAAGGCGGCCUGCUGGGCAGUUACUGACACUGAGGCGCGACAGCGUGGGGAGCAAACAGG